rnacentral:rRNA from 1 species
GAUGAACGCUGGCGGCGUGCCUAAUACAUGCAAGUCGAGCGAACAGACGAGGUGCUUGCUCCUCUGACGUUAGCGGCGGACGGGUGAGUAACACGUGGAUAACCUACCUAUAAGACUGGGAUAACUUCGGGAAACCGGAGCUAAUACCGGAUAAUAUCUUGAACCGCAUGGUUCAAUAGUGAAAGACGGUUUUGCUGUCACUUAUAGAUGGCUCCGGGCCGCAUUAGUUGGUUGGUAGGGUAACGGCUUACCAAGGCAAGGAUCCUAAACCGCCCUGAAAGGGUGAGCGGCAACCUGGGAACUGAGACAGGGCCCAGACUCCUACGGGAGGCAGCGGAGGGGAAUCUUCCGAAAUGGGGGAAAGCCUGACGGAGCAACGCGGCGGGAGGGAUGAAGGUCUUCGGAUCGUAAAACUCUGUUAUUAGGAAGGAAGAAAGGUGUAAGUAACUGUGCACGUCUUGACGGUACCUAAUCAGAAAGCCACGGCUAACUACGUG